rnacentral:lncRNA from 1 species
UUAGCUCCGCAAGGACCCGGACGCGACCAGGGGAGGCAGAAGGACUCUGCACUUGUCCAAGAGAAGAAUCCAGAGAAAUCAGAGCAGGUCAAAUAGUUCUAAAAGCCAUGGCCCAGGGACUGGUGACAUUCAGGGACGUGGCCAUAGAGUUCUCUCUGGAAGAAUGGAAGUGCCUGGAACCUGCUCAGAGGGACUUGUACAGGGAGGUGACUCUGGAGAACUUUGGUCACUUGGCCUCACUAGGUAAGGAGAUUGUAUCACACGGGCCAGACGGAAAGCAAGGCAACAGGGACUACAACCAUGGGGUGCAGUUUCCAUCUCUGCCUAAAUGGGUGAGGAGAGGAAACUGUCACAGGAGACGCUACAAACUACAGCCAUAGAGAGAGGCCCGGCCAGCAAUAGCUGUAGCUACUUCCAGAGCUCCUGGGUCAAAGGAGGGAGAGAGG